AGUGAACGCUGGCGGUAGGCCUAACACAUGCAAGUCGAACGGCAGCACAGUAAGAGCUUGCUCUUACGGGUGGCGAGUGGCGGACGGGUGAGGAAUACAUCGGAAUCUACUUUUUCGUGGGGGAUAACGUAGGGAAACUUACGCUAAUACCGCAUACGACCUACGGGUGAAAGCAGGGGAUCUUCGGACCUUGCGCGAUUGAAUGAGCCGAUGUCGGAUUAGCUAGUUGGCGGGGUAAAGACCCACCAAGGCGAGGAUCCGUAGCUGGUCUGAGAGGAUGAUCGGCCACACUGGAACUGGGACACGGUCCAGACUCCUACGGGAGGCAGCAGUGGGGAAUAUUGGACAAUGGGCGCAAGCCUGAUCCAGCCAUACCGCGUGGGUGAAGAAGGCCUUCGGGUUGUAAAGCCCUUUUGUUGGGAAAGAAAAGCAGCAGGUUAAUACCCCGCUGUUCUGACGGUACCCAAAGAAUAAGCACCGGCUAACUUCGUG
rnacentral:rRNA from 1 species